CUGCAUUGGUUUGAACAGCAUCUCAACAGAUCUUUGAAUCUCUCCCAAGCAUUAUAAAGAUUCACCAUCUUUUUGUCUAAAGCCAAUGAUUUCUUUUCUUGCCU
rfam:Glycine max cultivar Williams 82 chromosome 8, whole genome shotgun sequence.